rfam:Ictidomys tridecemlineatus contig059712, whole genome shotgun sequence.
GGGGGUGUAGCUCAGUGGUAGAACGCUCACCUCACAUGUGGGAGGCACUGAGUUCGAUCCUCAGCACCACAU